rnacentral:lncRNA from 10 species
UCUUGUCCUCUCUCCCAGGGAGGCUUAGUCCUUUGGCACAAAAGCAGUGGUGGCCAUUCAUUCCUUGCCCUAGUGAAGCCAACUUCCUCCACAUUCAUUCUGCCCAUCAGCAUCUGAUGCCCCCACAAUGGCAAACACUGCAGGGGACCAAAGUCUGACUCCAAAAGGAGGCAGAAUGCCAGGUCUUCUGCAGUGAUGCCCUCGAAUGGCCAUCUCUCACUGCCUGGGAUUAGCCUACAUUGAGAUCAAUGAUUAGCAGGUAACUUGUGAAGCCGACUCCUAAAAGUCCCAUUCCUCCAUCUUAGCUCAUUUGGGAAAACAGUUUUUCCAACACUUCUUACGUAAAUUCAAAUGUUAGAUUCUUUUUUUGGAUUUCACAAAUAGGACUAAUAAUUGAUCCACUCAUGUAAAUAUGAAUACAGUGAAUUGCAUAUAGUAGGCACUGGAUUAUUUGUUAAAGUGUUGAAUUAGGCCAGACACAGUGGCUCGCACCUGUAAUCCCAGCACUUUGGGAGGCCAAGGAGGGCAGAUCACUUGAGGUCAGGAAUUCAAAACCAGCUUGGCCAACAUGGCGAAACACUGUCUCUACUAAAAAUAGAAAAAAAAAAAAUCGCUAGGCGUGGUGGUGGCACACAUCUGUAAUUCCAGCUACUAGGGAGACUGAGGCAUGAGAAUCUCUUGAACCCAGGAGGCAGAGGUUGCAGUGAGCCGAGAUCGCACCACUGCACUCCAGCCUGGGUGACAGACUCAGACUCUAUCUCAAAAAAGAAAAAAUGUUGAAUUAAUACAUGUAUGUGAAUACACUAUAUGUAUGUGUACAUGUGCAUCUAUCUAUAUAGCUGUAUCUCCAUCUGUAUGUUCAUUGAUCUAUGUGUCUGUAUAUCUACAGAUAGACUGCCCCACCUGACCCAACAACCAGUCCAAUAAAUGAGCCCUUAUUCUGCACUGCCAACCAGACUUCACAGCAUUCCUAACAUGUUUCACUGAGUCCUCACACAAAGCCAAGAAAUAGGUAUUAUUCCUGAGGUCUCAUAAAACCAUCUGAGAAAUGUGUAGCAGAGAAUCAAAGCCAUGUAUGGCAAAAAAUAAAAAAUUAAAAAAAAAAGGCACUGGUGCAAAGAUUUCCAGAAGUACUGGAGGAGCCAUGGGCCACCUGAGAACUAUGGACUUCACAAGAUCAGAUGCAAGGGAGAGAAAUUACCUGGUGUAGGGGAGGAUUAGACCUUGGCCACCUGGAUUCAGUUUCCAGUUUGCCAGGGCCUCAGCAAAUUCUUCCUUUUGUGCACCUGUUUCCUGGUAAACUUCCUGCAGAAGCAGAGAAGCUGGUAGGGCUUGGAGGAAACUGAAAAACAGGGACAAUGAAAACAGUCCUUUGUAUGACACAUUUGGCCCUUGUCAAGAAAUACAAACGGGGAACCUAGCUUAGGAAAAGCAAGACGUCUUCAUUCAUUUCCUCAAGGAAGUGGCCCUUGCCUAUGACUGCUACGAGUCAGUUUCCAAAAAGCUCAAUAUUAAGCUCUGAUUGCUCCCUAGCAGAAAUGGCUGCUUUCAUUUAUUCUUGCCCAUCUGGCACAAAAGCAAUAUGCAGAGCUCAAAAGAGGUACGCAGAGGUGGCCCGGUAAACACUGGCCUCCAUUUCAUUUCAGUGGGGGUGGGUCAUGGUUCUGCGGGAACAAACGCUGAAUCCUUGCUCCGGGUGCAUGAAAGGCCGCAUCCAAUUUUGCCUCCCGUUGCUUUCCCAGUAUCCAGCAUGCCUGGCCCCACAAUAGAUGCUCAAUAAACACUUGAGUGAAUAAAUUAUUAACAUAUAAUCAUGAACGUUGUUACCAAAUAUUAAACACCUUUUAUAGACCAAGCUCAGGGCAAAUUGAUUUACAUAUCAUUGUUUCAUUUACUCCUCCUGACAUCUGAAGGAGGUAGAGGGACCAUGGUAGAUAAGGACGUUGAGAGGUCAGAGGAGUAAAGAGAUUGGCACAGGAUUGCACAGCCUGUCCUCAGCGCCAAAAUUCAUACAGAGACAGUCUGACUCCAAAGCCUGUUUUGAGGAAGGUUUUGUCAUGUAAUUUUGUAAUGUAUUAUGUAGUUUUUAUAAAAUUGUAAUUUAUGUGAUUUUUAUCUAUUUGUCAUUUUAAAUUUUUUAAUUAUGUGGUUGCAAUUUUACAUGAUUAUAACUUAUUACAAUUGAAAUUUUAUGUAAUUGUGUAAAUUUUAAUGUAAUUUGGAAGAUGGCCCUUUUUAGGUAAUGAAGUUGCAUAUGUAUAAAUUUCACAAAAUAUUUAAGUGAGAAAUAACUCCAAUCUUUUAGACUGUCUUUCAGAAAAUGGAAGAAAGUAUAUUCUUCAACUCAUUUUUGAGACUAGUGUAGACUUGAAACCUUAAUUCGUAGUGGAAGGGAGAUGACAGAUGAAUAUCAUGUAUGACCGUAGAUGCAAAAAUUCUAAACAACAGAAAAAGUCAGUCUGAAUCCAGGGAUAUGAAAUAGAAGGAUACUUCAUUACUAAAUUUAGUUUAUCUCAAAGACACAAAGCUGACUUAAUGUUAAAAAAAUCAAUCAAUAUAAUUCAUCACACUGAGAAUAUAAAGCAAAAACGUGAUUGUUUCACAGAUCCAAAAAUCAAGUAUAAGGUGUAACAUUCAUUUAUUAUUUAAAAUAAAUACUAUCAACAAACUAGAAAAAGAAGGGGACUUAUUAAUGUGAUAUUGUUUACCUACAAUAAAUCUUCAGCAAACAUCUAACUUAAUAAUGAAAUAUUAAAUACUUUCCUCUGGAAAUCAUGAUGAGGACAAAGAUGCCCAUAAUAACCACUUCCCUUCAACAUUUAGAGUAGAGGUUUCAGCCAAUAGAGUAAGACAAGAAAAAUAUACUAAAAUGCACAAAGAUUUAAAAAGGAAAGAGCAAAAGUAUUCUUAUUUUGAAGAUAAUGAUUGAAUACAUAGAAAACUGACAGAAUAAGAUAUUAGAAACUGUGAGUUUUACAAGGCUACUCAUUACACAACAAUCGACUACAUUUCUCUGUGUUAGUAACAAAUGGCUAGAAUAUUAAUUUAAAAGAAAAAUAUAUCAUUUACAUUUGUGUUGAAAGGAAUAUCAAGUACCUAGGAAUAAAUCUAACAAAACAUUUCGAGACCUCUAUGCAGAAAACUGUAAAUUUUUAUUAAGGAAGACCUAAAUAAAUGAGAAGCAACACCAUAUUCAUGCACUGAAGGGCUCAAUGUCAUAAAAAUACCAAUCCUACAUGAACUUGGUGUAUAGAUUUACUGAUCCCAACUGAAAUCCCAACAAGCAGAUUCUAAAAUGUAUAUGGAAAUGAAAAGACCAAAAGUGGUUAAGCUAUUCCUGAAGAACAAAGAAGAGAGUGGAUUUGCUCUGCCCAGUAUCAACUUAAAAUAACACUACAUUAAUUAAAGCAGCCUAGUGUUUGUACAAGGACAGAUAAUAGAUUAAUGGAAUAGGAUAGAGUGUUCUUAAAGAGAUCCAGAUAUAUAUGGACACUUGAUUUAUGGCAAAGAUAAAAUUGAAGGAGGAUAGAGAAAAAACUAUUUUAAAAAUGUAUGUGGCUGGGACAAUUGAGUAUCCACAAGGAAAACAUGAAAUGAGGCCCCUACCUCAAACCAUAUACAAAAUUCAAUUCCAGGUGGAGUAUAUGUGAAAACCAAGUUGAAAAGACCAAGAAAAAAAAGCUUUUAGAAGGUUAAAGAAAACUGAUAAAUUCGAGUACAUUAAAUAUAAGAAUUUUGUUAAUCGAAAGACAACAUUAAGAGAGCGAGAAGGCAAGCCACAGAGUGGGAGAAAAUAUUAGGGGAACAUAAAACUGACAGAGAGCUCAAACUACAUAAAGAAUGUCUAUAAAUCAGUAAGGAAUAAACAAAACAUAGAAAAAUGGGCCCCCAAAACCCUGAUAUGCGUUUCAAAAAAGGGAAUCCAAAUAGCCAACAGACAUAUGAAGGAUGCCCAACCCUGUUAGUAACCAAGGAAAGGUAACUAACAUAGUGUUCCUAUUAGCCCAGAUCUGGAACAACUCCAAUGUUCAUGAACUGUAGAAUGGAUAAAUAAAUGGAGGCAUAGUCAUACAAUACAAUACCAUACAAACAAUAAAAAUAAAUAAACUUCCCAGGCACGGUGGCUCAUGCCUGAGUAGCUGGGAUUACAGGUGUGCACCACCACGCCUGGCUAAUUUUGUAUUUUUAGUAGAGAAGGGAUUUCACCAUGUUGGUCAGGCUGGUCUUGAACUCCUGACUUCAAGUGAUCCACCCACCUCAGCCUCCCAAAGUGCUGGGAUUACAGGCAUGAGCCACUGUGCCUGGCCUAUUUCCACCUUCUUAAUGUAAGGAUUUUUGAGAUUCAUGAGCAGCCCUCAUCAAAUACCUGUGGAUUCUUUUAGCAGUGGGAUUUAUGUGUUGUAGAAAAAACAGUAAUAGCUAAUAUCAAGCCCUCUUCUAAGUGCUUUAAUUGUUUUAAUUCAUUUAAUCCUCAUAACCACCUUGCGAGUCAGUGAUCUACCAAGGGCAGGUCACUGGGGCAUUGUCUGUAGAAAAGUUAACAAUAAUAGUAAUCCUGAUAAAACUUUUCUGCUUUUUAUUAUCAUGGUCCAGCAAUUCUUAAAGAGAUCAGGAAUAAAAUCCUCCUCUCUAGAAAAAAAAUAUUUUGUUGAUCAAAGGUCUAAAUAAUUCAUGAUGAUUACUGAUAAGUUAUAAUCUUAUAUAAAUAAAUGUAAGUUUCAAAAUAGCAUCUUUUUAUUACAGAUCCUUUAAUAAACAUUGCAUCCUAUUCAGAAGUUAAUUCAGAGAAUUCUCAGUUCUACAGCCGGCACCUGACUCAUGUGGACUCAGGCUGUUUCAAAAGUGGGUUUCUAUGGCUGUGUUGUCUGAGCUGCCUUUCCUUCAGGUGCAAUCACAAGACAAGCCCUGGGAUGCUGCAGAUUCACCAUGAAUGGUGGAUUCCAAAUAAAAAAUGAUAGCAGGAUGCCUAGAGAGGUGAAGAUGCAAACUUUGAGUUAUUUCAGUUCUGUCUCCAUGGGACCACGUGGAGUUUUUAUUUGUGUUUAAAAUUCCAAAUGACAAAACAGAAUGCAAACUAUGAGAUGACUAAUUUAAUAUGAAACGGGCAAAAUUGAGUUCGGAUCUGAAAAAACGGUACCGCAUUUGAAUAGUAUCUUUAAAAUUAAAAUGUAAACCAGACGUUCCCCUUCCCCCUCGUAGCGCUCUGGCUCUGCAGGAGCCUCUGCACGGAGCAGAGAGCCUGGACAUUGCACUCCUGAUGCCCCUGGACGCACACCCGCGGGCACUGUCCCAGACCUCAUGGGGCACAGGCAGUACUUGCCUACCGGGCAGUGUUUUGUGCCAGUGAACUCAAGGGGAAGUAACUUAAAUAAACACUGACCAUGGCUAAAAUGUCUCGGUGUGAGAACAGGAGGUCAGAGUCCAACAGGGCACAUGGUGAAGUGCAGCCGGCCGGAAACCUGGGGCAGAGCCUGGGUCUAUUUUCUGGCACUCAGCCCUGGAAAGACUCCAUUAGACCAGAGUCCCUGAGGGACAAGCACCCUGUCCUUCUUACACAUUAUCCCCUGCCAUUCGCACAGGUGUUUCCCCCCAGAUCAUCUCAUUCCACAGGUUCCCCUCUAUUGACCCCGCCACCUCCCACCCAUCCAGCUCCCCAAGCUUGAAAUGCUGGUCUUCAGCAUCUCCACACUAAAACAGUCGCUCUCUCCUCAAAGUCGCUUGAGUCUCUUAUUUCCUUCCUUUUUUUUCCCAGUGGGAAUACCCAGGAAAGGCCUCCACUGCCUGCCAUCUGGGCUCUCCAGCCCCUUUCUUGGGUUCCCAAUGUCAUCUCUGCCCUGAGCCUCUCCUGCAUUUCACACUUCGUUUAGUCACACGUCUGCUUCAGGGGCUGACUUCCUGCCUGAAUUAAGCCAAAUCCAAAACUUUUCUGGAUUCAGUCAACUCCUGCAUACUCUCUCCAUCAUGUACCCUCAGUCCUAGCCAGCUCGCCAAUGUCAUUUCUUCCUCUUUUCCACCUGAGAUCCUUCCUCCACAUAGACUUUCACAAUUCUCCACAAAACUGAGCCCAUCAAAAGCAACAGAUAUUCUGGUGGGUCGGGCACCGUGGCUCAUGCCUGUAAUCCCGGCACUUUGUGAGGCUGAGGCAGGUGGAUCACUUGAUAUCAGGAGUUCGAGACCAGCAUGGCCAACAUGGUGAAACCCCAUCUUUACUAAAAAUACAAAAAUUAGCUGGGCAUGUUGGCGUGCACCUGUAGUCCCAGCUAUUCAGGAGGCUGAGGCAGGAGGAUUGCUUGAACCCAGGAGGCUGAGGUUGCAGUGAGCUGAGAUCGUGCCACUGUACUCCAGCCUGGGCAACAGAGUGAAACCCCGUCUCCAGAAAAAAAGAAAAGAAAAAAAAGCAACAGACAUUCUGUAAUCCUAUUCUAACCAUCCCACUGCCUGUUUGUAUUUUUGGUUUUUGUGCUUGUCUUUAAUGGCUGCCUUCACCCCACUCAUCAUCUCCACUGAAGCCACCACCUGUUUCUCUGUUUGGGGUUUAAAGGUGUCUGAGAUCUUUCCCAUCAUGCAAAUAAAGAGAGAUUUCAUGGCUUCUCCAAGCUAUCACCGAACUUGGCUUUCAACUGCAAGUCUUCUGGAUUCAAAUCCAGUGUUCCUGCCCCUACACCAGGGAUACUUAAUAGCAUACAAGGUAACUUUAGCUGGUACUCAGAAGAAAUUUUAAUCAGUUCUAUAUUGAUUUUAAUGUGUAUUAAAAAAACUAAAAACCGUCACAUCCUCAGCUCAAGUUGCCAUCUCCCAAGUCUAGUAAUAGCUCUUUUAAUGCACCACCAUUCUCAACAGAAAAACUGUCCACAGUCUUAUUUACUGCCAUUUCAUAAGUGAGAAGUAGCAGAGAACAAGAGUCUGUUUAAGCUAGUGGUUCUGUCAACCUUGGCUGCCAUGAGAAUUAUUUGGAGAAACAUUUUUUUAAAACACCAGUGACUGGAUCCCCGUCCCCUCCCUGCCGUGGUAAAAUUGGUUGGGAGUAGAGUCUAGAUGGUGUAAUAUACCCCAGGUGAUUCAAAUUGAAAUCACGGUCGAGAGCCUCUGGUUUACAUCAGUGACUGCACAGCUGGGCCUGAUAAUUGCAUUUCUUUUUCUUGUUCCUUUUUUUUUUUUCUUAGAGAUAAUGUCUCACUCUGUCUCCCAGGCUAGAGUGUAAUGGCACAAUCAUGGCUCACUCCAGCCUCGAACACCUGGGCUCAAAAAAUCCUCCUGCCUCAGCCUCCCAAGUAGCUGGGACCACAGAUGCAGGCCACCACACCAGCUAAUUUUAAAAAUUUUUGUAGAGAUGGGGUCUUGUUAUGUUGCCCAGGCUGGUCUCAAACUUCUGGCCUCAAGCUAUCUUCCUACCUUGGCCUCCCAAACUGUUGGGAUUACAGGCGUGAGCCACCACACCCAGCCAUGAAUCGCAUUUCUAAAAGCUCCCGUGUGAUGUUGAUGCUUCCCCUUAGAUUCAGGGAACACACUUUGAUCACCACUGAUGCAGAUGAAUCUGGGAGGACCACUGUGGGUUUUUUCCUUCCCAGCAUACUUUUGUUCUCUAGUAAUAGCUCCUGACAACAUGCUUUGGAGAGCCAUGCCUCCUCAACUCUUAGGUGUAGGUGAUACCUCACCACUUCAGGAGCAGAAACCAGACUCAAGUCUGGCCAAUCCACAGAAUCUGUGUCUGCUCCAGUGAGUAAUGGGUUCAGUGAUGGGUGCAUAAUAUAGUCCAGUGAGAGUCAGUGCUGAGACUUUUGCUGAAACCCUUGAGAAAAGGUGCUAAGUUGGCAAGACAUAGGCCUGGAGCUGCUGGUGACUGUUUUACCUUUGCCUGAGAGGAACCUGCCUGAGGAUGGAGCAGGCAGGUGAAAGCAAAAGAGACUGUGAGACGAAGUAGAUGGCACCCUUUUAUUCCCUGGAUCCAGCCAAACCUGAAUCCAGACAUACAUUUUUCAGUGGCAUGAGCUAAUAAGUUUCCUUUCUUGCUCAAGCCAGUUUGAGGUGGGUUUUUGUCAAGUGCAGUUCAGAAAGUGCUGAUACAUGAAACAUCACAGUGCACCCGCCACCCCACAGAGGGGGAUUCCAGCCUCUCUUCUGGAGGCUGCCUCCAUCAGGCAACCAUCUUCAAAAAGGCCCCAGGAUGGAGCAACAGAACCCUUAGAUGUCAGUCAGUGUCAUCACCUCCCUGCUUAUAUGGGAAGACUGGGGGACAAAGAGGGGUAAGGAAUUGCCCCAAGUUGUGCCUUCGACAGAGCCAGAUAGGAUAUCAGCCCUUGGCUCUAUCAGUAGGCACACCCACGCCAGGGGGCGGGUGAGAGCCAGCAGGGAGCGCCACCCUGGUCUCCUUCACAAGGACACCCACUGUAGGGAGGGGAUCUCACUACUUCAUGAAAAGUGGCUUUAUUAUUGCCCACUUCUCAAUGUCUCCGUGUUUCUAAUUGCAAUCUAAAAAACACACCCUUUUUUUUUUUUUUGAGACAGGGUCUCACUCUGUCUCCCAGGCUGGAGUGCAGUGGCGCAAUUCAGCUCACUGCAAGCUCCGCCUCCCAGGUUCAAGCGAUUCUCCUGCCUCAGCCUCCUGAGUAGCUGGGAUUACAGGCUCCCACAACCAUGCCUAUCUAAUUUUUGUAUUUUUAGUAGAGACGGGGUUUUGUCAUGUUGGCCAGACUGGUCUUGAACUCCUGACCUCAGGUGAUUCUUUUACCUCGGCCUCCCAAAGGCUGGAAUUACAAACAUGAGCCACCACCCCCAGCCAACACACCUCUUUUUAAAAAGCCAUAUCAAAUCCAUGAUUCCUGGGAUGCUAUUGCUUAGAAAAGUAUUUGUCGAACUGUAGCCUUCUAAUUAGCAACAUCAGAAUCACCUGAAAAAUUGAUAAAAUGCAAAUUCUCAGCCCCUCCCCAGACCUACUGCACCCUGAGGGGGAGAUCCAGCCAUACGUCAUUGAACAAGACCUCCAGGUGAUUCUGAUACAUGUUCAACUUUGAAAGCCACUGGCUACGGCUAAGUAAAUUUUUUAAAUUGGUUUAAAAUUGAUUUAAUGAAAAUUACAAAGUAAAUGUAAAUGAUUUGUGAAUAUAGCAAAAAUGUAGGAAGCUGUACAGAAGUGAUUAAAUAUGAAGAAGUGCCAUCCUAUAACAUUGAAGCCUCUAGGAGUGCAAUGGAAGGAAGGUCUAUAACAGCCCAGGGAGAUUAAACCCACCCGCAAACACUGAAAGAGUCCCCCUAUGCUGGCAAGGGGGGCUUUAUCACUUGUUUGUGUGUUGUUUUGCUGAGGGACAGAGAGUUUACCUGUUUGACCGUUUAUCCCUCACUAUUUGGAAAACUAUAAAAUAGAAGAGUCCUCUCUUUUAAGAUGAUCUACCCAGAUGACUUGGGGACUUUCCCUUUGUUAUAGAUAAACAGGUUUUGGCCCUAAGGCUUUGAACAUUUCCCGGUGAAUAACAGUCACUGCCGGUUAUACAAACCCAGCUCACCUUGAGCACAUGAGACCCAGUGAAACCAUCCCGUCACAUGGGAAGGGUGGGCCUGAAAGAGCCUUCACAAUCACAGAGCAUCCAUAACGACCUUGAACGCAGAUUCUUAAGAAGGACCAGGGAUGCACGUGGUUUCCUUGAUAAUGAGAGCGUGGAUUUCAGGCGGGGCCCUCGGAAUGCUUGAACCCAGCCCCACCAGGGGCUGCAGUCCCUCGUGAAUCUGACGCAUCUGCUCAGAACAGCCUUGAACCACAUCCAUGAAAAUCAUUGUCGCCACCGUUGGACCCACCUCCCCACUGAAUAGGAGAGCAGAGUGCUUUGUUGAGACCCCUUUCCUAAAGGGUUCGUCUAUUUCUUUAACCAUGUUUAUGUGGGAUUCUCUGACAUUCAAAAGAUAGCAGACUCGCAUUUAAUGUCUUUAUAGCGCAGCACUGUGUGUACCCUCGACUCCAAAUGCAGAAUGUAACUCAUGAGCAUAAAAGCUCUAAAGAAACCUUGGUCACUCAUGAGGAUGGCAUAAAAUCCAGAGGUGCUGUCUCAAGAUGGGGUUCAUCUGUCCCUGAAAUGAAGACACAGUGGUGGUCUUUAAUCAGAAGACAGCUCUGGGGAUUAAUUGGUGUGAGAAUGAUGAAAAACAGCAUUGUUUCUUUGUAGUCUAUUUCUUUUUGUCGUUAUUUUUUAUUUUUUUUAAAUUGGGAUAAAAUACAUAUAACAUAAAAGUGAUCAUCUGAACCAUUCUUAACCAUGCAGCCCAGGGCAUUAACACACAUUGUUGUGCAGUCAUCACCACCAUCCAUCUCCACAACUCCUUUCAUUUUGCAAAACUGAAACUCUAUGAGUGAAACAACUCCCCGUUUCUCCCUCCCUCAGCCCUUGGCAACCACCGUUCUACCUUCUGUCUCUACGAAUUUGACCCUAGUCUGUUUCUGAGUGAGACCUUUACCCGACUCGUUACUGGGUAAAUCCUAAUGAGAGUAAAAUUGUCUCAGCCCCUCAGCGAGCAAGUUUCAGAUUCAGGCAUCUCUGGGAUACCGGUAUGACCAUAAAGCAGAACUCACAGAAUGUGGCCACAAGUGGGGGUUUUCUGCUCAGUAUUUUGCUCUGGAUUUGUUUAUGUGAACAUCCCUGGGGUAGCAGCAGGCACACUGGGUUUAGAUUCAGAAGAAUUGGGAUUGAAAACCCAAUGCUUCAUUAUCUUGGAGAAGCCACCUGCUCUCUCUAAAUCUCUUAAGUUGGUUCUCAUUUUAAUUUUUCUUUUUUUUUAAUUUUUUUUUUUUGAGACAGAGUCUUAUUCUGUCGCCCUGGCUGGAGUGCAGUGGUGCGAUCUCAGCUCACUGCAACCUCCGCCUCCCAGGUUCAAGCGAUUCUCCUGCCUCAGCCUCCUGAGUAGCUGGGAUUACAGGCAUGUGCCACCACACCCUGCUAAUUUUUGUAUUUUCAGUAGAAAUGGGGUUUCACCAUGUUGGUCAGUCUUGGCUCAAACCCCUGGCCUCAAGCGAUCUGCCCUCCUUGGCCUCCCAAAGCUCUGGGAUUACAGGUGUGAGCCAUCGCGACUCGUCUGGUUUUUAUUUUUAAAAAUCAGAGGAUUUCGUGUAAAAAUCUCAAUUUCCAGAAUCUCUUGAAAAAAAUUAAAAAUCAAAACAAGCACCCAUUUUUUUUAAUGUCCAAAAACUUCAAAAAGGCACUUUACCAAAGAAAGAUAUACAAGAAGCUAAUAUGCCCAAACAAAGAUGCUCAACAUCAUUAGUCAUCAGAGAAAUGCAAAUUAAAAUCACGAUGAGAUACCACUUGGAAUGACUUAAUCAGUAAAGCUGACAAUACCAAGUGCUGAAGAAGGCACAGAACAACUGGAACCUGCAUCCAUAAGCAGCCUGGUAGCUUCUUAUAAAGUUAAACAUGCACUUACUGUAUGUCCUCCCCUACCCUAGAGAAAUGAAAAAUUAUCUUCACACAAAAAUACACACCUAAAUGUCUAUAGCAGGUUUAUUCAUAAUUACCCCAAAAUAACGCAAAUCUUCUUCAACAGGUGAAUGAAGAGAAGCACUGGUCCAUUCAUGUCCUGGAAAACCACUCAGUAAUAAAAAGAACACAUGACUGGUAUGACCAACAUGAGUGAAUCUCAAAUGCCUCAUGCAGUGGAAAAGAAGCUAGACUCUAAAGACUGUCCACUGUCUGAUUCCAUUUCCAUGACUUACUGGAAAAGGCUAAACUUCAGGUCAAUGGCCACCAGGGGCUGGGGUGGGGAGGGUGUUGCUUAAAAUGAGCAUGAAGGAAUUUUGUGGGGAGUGCCAGAACUGCUCUAUAUCUUGAUUUUGGUGGUGGCUACACAACUAUUGUAUUUAUUUGCUGAAAACUCACAGAACUGCACACUAAAAAGAGUGAAUUGUCCUACCGAUAAAUCAUACCUCAGUAAACUUGACCACCGCACCCCACCCUAAAAAAAAUACCUAGCACCUCUGGGCCCACCUUCCUGCACAGCCACAGUUGGCGGUUAGGCAACGGGCACUCACCUCCUGGCUUAGCUUGGGUUCCCUCCGAUGCGGUUCCUGUGCUCAGGACAGGCAGCUCCCCUGUGAGGGGGUGGCAGGAAGCAAAAGUGACGAAGAAGAGUAGAUAAGGGCGCAUUGAUGAUUUGGUUCAUCUGAACAGCAGUCACCCUGAGGCACUUUGUAGAACCAGCCUCCACAUCCUCCGGGUUCUUCAUUCGCAGGUCAGGAGGCUACCACACUUACCCGGUCACUUUCCUCGUUGUUGGAGUCACUCUGCACACCAUGAGCAGCCCCCACCGCUGUGCUGGGUAACAAAAGCUCCUGCAACUUGGGAGAAAGCUCUGUUUAAAAAUGUGGGGCCAUGCAGCAAGCUCUGCAAGGUCGGAGCUGAGUAUGGCAGGUGUGGCCAAGAGCAGCGGCGCCACUGGGGGAUGACAGAGGCUGCAAAGCAUGCCCCCCGCCCACCUCCAUGAGGAGCCCCACCUCAGCCCUGUGCCCGCUUGUGUCCUUGGGCCAGCCCAGGGAAGGGUAUGAGCUCAUCACUGCUGCUGGGUGUGAUACAGCGACUGCUUAUAAACAACAAUCGGGGUGGAUGAGGGGUGGAGAACACGAGGCUGAAAAUGAGUAAACCUGGUUUCUAUUUCUGGUUCUUCCAACAACCAGUUCUGAGACCUUGAGCAAAUCAUGCCCCUAUAACGGGCCUCAGUUUUCUUCUGUGUAAAAUGAAGAGAGAUAGAAUUAAGUAAGCUCUCCAGUCCCUCUGCCAUCCCUUAAAAAGCUAUCAUUCCGUCACGCCUCCAAGGAGUGUCUCUCUCUGCAAAGUAGUCACUUUAGAAAGCCAUGGUACAUGGUACAGUUCACUGGAAUUGUUCAAAACAUGUCAAGGCUUAGAACACAUGCUUUUGGUUAUCUCCAAAGGUGAGGAGCUCCCAAAUCUGGGGACGGAUUAUAUUUUGGAAUUUCGAUGUUUAUGAACCAUAUGGGGAUCAACCUGGAAAAAGCUUGAUCCAAAACCAGGUAUAAAGCAGUGCUUCCAAAACGUGGUCUGAGGACAGCCUGUGUCAGGGGCACUCGGGUGCUUGUUACAAAGCAAAUGUGCAACAGACCCAGAUUGAGGGACCUUCUACAAAAUAACUGACCAGUACUCUUCAAGAUUGCCAAGGUCAUGAAAGGCUAAGAAAGACGGAGGAACCAUCACAGAUGGGAGGACACUACAGAGACAUGACUGUGAAUGCAAUGUGGGGUCCUGGCUUCCACCUGAGAACAGGAAAAGGACAUAGCAGAAGAGCUGAGGGAAUCCAGAUAAAACCUGGAGUUCAGUCACUAGUAUUGCAUCCAUGCCUUCAGCUCAUCAUGUGCACUCAAGCUGCAGGCCUGAGAAACACGUCUGGGAGUCGUCAUCACAGGGGAAAGGAAAGGGCAUGAGGACAGUCUUGAGUGUUGCCCUGUAUCCUGGCUCAAGACUCAGAAGGAUCAGCAAAGAGAAGGAAGGCAGGAAGGAAGGAAGGAAGGAAGGAAGGA